GACGAACGCUGGCGGCGUGCUUAACACAUGCAAGUGGAGCGACCAACCGGGCUUCGGCCCGGGGCCAAGCCGCGAACGGGUGAGUAUCACGUGGGUAACCUGCCCCGAUGACCGGGAUAACCCGAGGAAACUCGGGCUAAUACCGAAUGUGCUCUCAAUCCACCAGGGUUGAGAACAAAGGAAGCUUCGGCCUCCGCAUUGGGAUGGGCCCGCGGCCCAUUAGCUUGUUGGUGAGGUAAGAGCUCACCAAGGCGACGAUGGGUAGCUGGUCUGAGAGGACGAUCAGCCACACUGGGACUGAGACACGGCCCANACUCCUACGGGAGGCAGCAGUGGGGAAUCUUGCGUAAUGCGCGAAAGCGUGACGCAACAACGCCGCGUGAGGGAAGACGGCCUUCGGGUUGUAAACCUCUUUCAGGAGGGACGAAGGUUCAGGCGCGAAUAGCGUCCUGGACUGACGGUACCUCCAGAAGAAGCCCCGGCUAACUACGUNCCAGCAGCCGCGGUAAUACGUAGGGGGCUAGCGUUGUCCGGAAUCAUUGGGCGUAAAGCGCGCGUAGGCGGCCCGGUAAGUCCGCUGUGAAAGUCAAAGGCUCAACCUUUGAAUGUCAGCGGAUACUGCCGGGCUAGAGUCCGGAAGAGGCGAGUGGAAUUCCUGAUGUAGCGGUGGAAUGCGCAGAUAUCAGGAGGAACACCAACGGCGAAGGCAGCUCGCUGGGACGGUACUGACGCUAAGGCGCGAAAGCGUGGGGAGCGAACAGGAUUAGAUACCCUGGUAGUCCACGCCGUAAACGAUGGGCACUAGGUGUGGGAGGUGUCGACUCCUCCCGUGCCGGCGCUAACGCAUUAAGUGCCCCGCCUGGGGAGUACGGCCGCAAGGCUAAAACUCAAAGGAAUUGACGG
rnacentral:rRNA from 1 species